AAAAGUGGGAGAUCAAAUCGAGAACCUUCAGCUUCUGCUCCUCUCUGAUUCCACCAGCGUUCUCCAUCCUUCCUCUUCAUUCAUCAAUGUCGCCACCGUGGGUGCGUUAAAGAGUGUCCUGCACCGCUGCUGCUGUGAGUUUCUCCUCCUCCCUGAUUCAAUUUUCGAUCGGAUAUCAGUUGAGGGAGCAUGGGAGUUUUGGUCCAGAAGCUUCGCCUUCUCUCCUCCAGUCCAUGGUUUCUUCGCCGUUCACUGUUGCCAGAGUCGAGGUGCGCCAUAGAUUUCCCACCAGAUGUGUAACUCUUUCUUCUUCUUCUUUGAUCCUGUUCUGAAUUGCUGAGAGAAAUAAAGAUUGAAAUCCAUUCGUGUCUUCUUCAACCUUCGAUCGCAAUUUAGACCACCGUCGGUGAGUGCUUGGCUGUGUUCCUUCAUUGAUUGUUCUCUAAUCAUCUGAACCGAGAUUCACUUAUUCUCCCCUGCUCCGUGCUCAUUGAGAACUCACCAUUUUUGAGGUGCCGUUGUGUAGAGCUCACUUUCUCUCCUUCCCUGUUCAACACCUGAGCUCCUCCCUCUUCUCUUUUGUGAUAAUUCGAGAUCUGAGGGCAUGACAAGAAGUUGAAACGGAGAGAGCAGAAAUGGAAGACGCAUAAUGGAGAUGAAACGGAAAGAGCAGAAACGGGAGACGCAUAAUGGAGGACAAUAAACUCCUUGUAACCUCCCCUUAAUUUCCAUAACCUCCCUUUUAAUUUGUAAGCUUCAAUUUUUCACGAUUCCAGAACUAUAAAUAGGGCCCUUUGGUUGUGUAAGGAGCUCAAAAUGCAAAGAAUAAAAUUGCUUGUUUUUCAUCC